rnacentral:lncRNA from 1 species
CACGGGACCCUUCCAGUAGGACUGGUGGGGACAGACAGCCGUGAAUCAGGCUUUCCUGACGACAUCAGGCAUGGAUGGGCAAUUGGGACAUUUUUCCGGAAGAGGAGCCCGGUGAAAUAUUUAAUAAAUAAAAUCCAUUAAGAAGACCAUGUUGACCAGAUCUCCUCAAAUUUCCUCCAGGUAAGUGCAGUGAUAAAGGCCACCAGCAGCUGGGGUGGGCGUGUGAGUGGCCAGGCACACGCUUGCCC